rnacentral:rRNA from 1 species
GACGAACGCUGGCGGCGUGCCUAAUACAUGCAAGUCGACCUUAGUGGCGGAUGGGUGAUUAAUGCCUUGGACUCUGCCUGGUAGCGGGGGAUAACGUCCGCUAACGGGCGCUAAUACCGCAUACUAUCAGAUGAGCCAAGGUCGGAUUAGCUAGUUGGUGGGUUAAAGGCCUACCAAGGCGACGAUCCGUAACUGGUCUGAGGGGAGGACCAGCCAAACGGGAACUGAGAACCGGCCCGGACUCCUAGGGGAGGAAGAAGUGGGGAAUAUUGGACAAUGGGGGAAAGCCGGAGGCAGCAAUGCCGCGUGUGUGAAGAAGGUCUUCGGAUUGUAAAGCACGUUAAGUUGGGAGGCGGUACCGAAAGAAUAAGCACCGGCUAACUUCGUGCCAGCAGCCGCGGUAAUAC